AGUUUCAUGAGUCAGACUGGGCUGUUGGGAGUUUCUUCCAAAGAUGUACAUGUUGGUUGAAAACCGCACAAGUUCCCAUCUUCACCUGAAGAGGUCACCUGGCAUUCGAUCUUGGUCUCUCUUUGUUGGAAUAGCCUCCAUAGGUUUGGCUGCUGCUUACUAUAGUGCAGACAGCCUGGCAUGGAAGCUCUUCUAUAUGUCCGGGUGUUUCUUUGUGGCAGCACAAAAUCUGGACCAGUGGGAGGAAGCUGUAUUUGAUAAGAACAAGGGAACAGUCUGCCUAAAAACAUUCAAUCUUUACAAAAAAAUACUGACCUUCUCAAAAGGAGGCAAUGAACAAGUAGUGGCUCUACUGAAUGAGAUCCGAGAUGUGAAUGUGGAAGAGGAGACUGUGCGAUAUUUUGGGAAGGGUUACCUGGUGGUGCUACGAUUUGUCACUGGAUUUUCACACCCACUGACUCAGAGUGCAGUGUUGGGCUGCAGAAGUGAUGUGGAAGCGGUUGCCAAACUCAUUACUAGUUUUCUGGAACUGGACAGGGUAGAGAGCCAACAAGAUCUCUCUCAGAGCAGCGAAACAGAGGCUAGUGAUGAAGAUGAACCACAGGAUAAAUAUUAAUAGUCAUCAUGACCUGAAGAAAGCAGAGGCUUUCAAACAUCUGGAAAACAGACUGAUUGUUCGUCAGAAAAAUAAACCCCUCUCACUCUUGACCUGGGCAUUUCUCUACAUGUGCAUUUCCAAUGGGAGGAAUCUGUUUUAGGGCACCUUUUUUUAGUGCUAAACUGCUUCAAGAUCCAUGCUCACAGUAUUGCCAUUGUAGAGUCCAAAGCAAAUUCUGUUUUAUUUGCUCCUUUGACUUAGCCCCUGCAUGUGGACAUUGCUGGCUUCUGAACUUUGCCAGCUCAUCAAACUUGUCUAGGAAUAGUUAUUUAUUAAUGAAUUGGUUUGAAAUCACUUAUUGAUUUCCCAUUAAUGAAGUGAAGAUACAGAUGUAAGUUUCCACUUACUGCAAACAUCUGCUGCAGCAAAUUUCUUCUGGCAGCAGUUUCUUCAGGACUUGAAAGAACCUGCAUUCUUCUUUCAAAGUGUUCUGCCUCUACAGAAGAGAAAGCUCUGAAAAGUUUUCAGCAGAAGCUAUGUCCUGUUGUGUGUUCCAGCUGCAUCUGCAACUAAGCACGUGCUUACCUGACCAAAGAACAGCUUGUACCAAGAUUUCACUUCCAGCCAUUUAGACCCACUAUGUGAGCUGUGAGACAAAGAUGCUCUGACUGUUGGUUUGGAUGGAUAAUCAAACUGGAACAGGGAGAUAGCUGUGAUGCAGCUUGACUGCAGCACAGAAGUGGGUCUAUUGCUAUUAAAUAAGAAAUUUGCAAUCACAUCAGGUAUCAAAGCAGACCUCUGCUAGUAGAUGUGCUUGUGAAGUCCUCAGAGUUGGUGAGUUAAUUGUGUGGCUUUCUGGCCCACAUCACUGGAAUUGGGAAGCUGUGAUGUAUGAAUGUGGGAAAUUAGGUUGCAAGCAAUUAGCUAAAUUUGGCCUUUAUUCUGAAGCACAGCUGUGAGCUAAGAAUAAUCAUCAAACCUGUUUAAAAAAAAAAAACAAACUGCAGGAUGUAACAUUGGAGAGAUCUUAAUUUAAAUCCACUCUAAUAUAUACCCUAGGUAACACUCGUUUUGGAGAGAGGAGAAUGAGAUUGGGAAUUUGGAGAACUCUUCCUCCCCUACCACCAUGUAAAAUGAGAAUGUCAAGUAUUAAAGACUUCCAGUAAGAAAUACUGAAAAAAAUAGAGUAUUUAAUGGAAUAAUGUAAGCAAAAGGGCUCAACCAGCAGAUAACUACUGCUUUCUAGCAAGGAUAUUGGGAGGGAGUACAUGGUACUGAUGUGCAUUGCACUUAACAUUCUGAGCCUACAGGUUUGACCAUGGAUGAAACAGAAAAAACUGCCUGUGCUCAAUCCUGGCUAUACUGGGUUUCUUCUGUAUUUUCAUGAGCGCUAACAUUCCGUGGAAGAUACAAACCAUGCUGUGGUUUUCCAGUUAAAAAUCAGCUUCAGAAAGGUACAUCUGUUGAUCUAACUCUGCACUGCAUUGUGUGCCCUGCUUCUGCUGAGCUCUUUUGUGCAUCUAGCUUGCUGUACAUUCUUGAUCUUAGUAAUGUAUACAUACAUUAUGACUAUGGCUAUGCAAUAUCAUUAUACAAAGGUUAAACCAAUGUAAAAAUCAGAACCCCUAGAAAGGAGAAUGACCUAUAGUAAGAUAUAACAUAGCUUGAAAUAUGGUCUGUGGAGGAAGUUGCUUUUUGAGUUGAUGUCGAAUGUUCCAUCUUUUUAAAGAUGUUCUGUAGGGUCCCCCUCACACCUCGCUAUCCUGCUGAUGGUAGGCUGGAGGGGGAUCGAACUGCUGGCAUGCACUGUGUGUAUGAGGAAUAUUUGACUCCUCAGCCUUUCACUUGGAACAGCUGGUGUAAAUCCUCUCUUGUCCCAGGUCUGUUUCGCAUUUGGCAGCUUUGUUGCCAUACAGACUAGCUCAAUUUUACAUGAGAACCUGAGUUCUGUAGACUGAGCAAUGGGAAGGCUGACCGUGAAUCCUGCAGAUGCUGUGGGUUCUGCCUGCGGGCUGUAUGCCAGGCACUGCUGGCUUGGCAUGUACAGCUCGAGCUUCCUGUGGUGCUGACCUAUGGUGCAGGUAAAGAACGUCAAUGACUUGGCACUGGGCUGCCGCGCACCAAUGUGUAUCACAGGCUGAUGUGUAUUUCUCCUGAUCUAGGUUUUAAGCUUCUUAUCUUCAAAAACUGAUUGUUUGUCUUUUGUACUUGUAAGACAUACAUACCCAGAUUUUCAUGUUUUGCAGUAACUGUGUGUGUGGAAAAUUAACUUGUAAAUUGCUGUUAAUAUGGAUUUGGUUCUGGCAACAUCUGCAGGCUCCUUAGUGAUGUGAUGCAGCUUGAAGGAACUGUCCAGAAGAGCAGGUGCUAACUUGGGACAGGUUCUGCCCUUCCCUCUUUCCACUAGUUGUCUCUGAUCCUCUUUUCCUGCCACUUUUCACCAUUUUGCUGAGGGUUUUUUUGGAUAGUUCUCCUCACUUCUCUUGGAGAGAUCUUAGCAUGUCAAAAGGCCCAGUAGACAAAGCUGUAUGUGUGCCUGAUGUAAAGUGGCUUGUACUAAAAGGAAUGAUGUGAAAGACUAGUUUUGGUUAGGAAAUUAGAUACUCCUAGAACAGUAUUACAAGAGAUGUAGUUAAGAUUUUUGUAUCUCAGGCUGUCAAGUAACUUGCAUCUGGACAGCUGUAGUAUGACUUAGAAAGGAUUUGAAAACCUGCAUAGAAGUUCUUAAACUAGAUCUAACCCCUUGCUCCAUAAAGCCACCAUUUGCUAUUAUGUCUGUUAAUGUAACUAUGGUAAGUGCUGUUUGGCAGAUGCUUCAGCUUAAAUGCGAGUAGCGCAUUUGAAGUUUCUUGUAUGUGUGGUUGGAUGGGAUCGCAGCCUUAGCUGUCACACUGAACAAAAGCUGGACUGCAUUUGUACAAAGGGAGAAAGCUGUAUUAUCUCUGCUAUAACUUAAUGUUCUGAUAUUUCAUGGAAUGAGAUAUUCCAGUAAGUAGGAUCAAUUGUGCAAAUCUCAAAGAAAAUCAAAGUAUUUAUACUAUAUAGCUGAGAUCGGACUCUUGGGCUGUAUUCAUAAAGUUACACAGACACCAAAACCGAAGCUGGCUUACAUAGUAAAGAGUGCUAGUUCUGAUGCGGUAGUAGAUCGCUGAGAGGUAAAAAUACUUCUGGAAAAUGUUUAGAAAUUGCUUUUCUACUUUAAAAUUGCAAGUAGAAUUCAGCAAGGCCUUGUAUGUUGU